UACGUAGGGAGCAAGCGUUGUCCGGAAUCAUUGGGCGUAAAGAGCGUGUAGGCGGUCCGGUAAGUCCGCUCUGAAAGUCCGGGGCUCAACCCCGGGAGGCGGGCGGAUACUGUCGGGCUAGAGUCCGGAAGAGGCAAGUGGAAUUCCUGGUGUAGCGGUGAAAUGCGCAGAUAUCAGGAGGAACACCGAUGGCGAAGGCAGCUUGCUGGGACGGUACUGACGCUGAGACGCGAAAGCGUGGGGAGCAAACAGG
rnacentral:rRNA from 1 species